CAGCAGGUUGAAGACUUCGUGAAAAGCUCCUCUCUUGGUGCUGGAGCAGCGUCCUCCGUCCUCGUCCCGGCUGACACCCAGAGGAGCCGCAGCGCCGACGCUGCCUCGGCCGCUCGUCACAGUUACCUGGACAGGUGGACAGAGGGGGGGCGGGGCAAAUACUGGAUUAGCAAAUCAGCAGCAGGCGAGGUACUGCAGUGGCAUCCUGAGCAUCGCAGUGGAACAACUCACCUGUCCAGGUGACUGACCCGUCUGCUCAGCGUGCUGCUGCCGCGCUCCUUCAGCUGCAGGUCGGUGGGAUGUUUGCCAUCCUGCCAAACAGAUUCUGUGAAAACAAAACAACAAUUUUUGUGACACCCGUCGGCAGCCGUCACACUGCGACGCAGUGCCUCGGACUUCUUCGUCACGUCUCACCUGAGCUUUCUGAGCGACGUCCAGAACCAGCUGGAACUUCUCCGACACCGUCAGGUCUUCUUUAGGAGCCUCCUGCAAAACAGAGGAGACAGUAAAGUGAUGAACACUGACACCUGUCAGUCACUUGCACACCAACAUGUUUAACUAUGUCAACAUGUUGAUCAUCUAAAAUAAAUUAUGUUUUGUAUUACAAGCCAUGAACAGCUGAU